ensembl:misc_RNA Y_RNA Y RNA
GGCUGGUCCAAAGGUAGGGAGUGAUCUCACUAUAUCAUUCACAGUCAGUUACAGAUUGAACUCCUUGUUCUACUCUUUCCCCUCUUCCCACUACUGAACUUGACUAGUCAAAA